rnacentral:ncRNA from 12 species
GGCUAUUGAGGAUAGAACAGGUAUCUAUCGCCUUUAAUUGGAGAUGUGGGUUACCAACCACCAAUAGCC